AAUGAACGCUGGCGACAUGGAUUAGGCAUGCAAGUCGAACGGUAUAGCAAUAUACGAGUGGCGAAAGGGUGAGUAACACGUGAAUAAUCUACCUCUAAGUUUGGAAUAGCCUUUGGAAACGAAGAUUAAUACCGAAUGUGGUUUUCCUUUGCAUAAAGGGAAUACUAAAGAUUUAUCGCUUAGAGAGGAGUUCGCGUCCCAUUAGCUAGUUGGCGGGGUAAUGGCCCACCAAGGCAAUGACGGGUAGGUGGUCUGAGAGGAUGGUCACCCACACUGGGACUGAGACACUGCCCAGACUCCUACGGGAGGCUGCAGUCGAGAAUCUUCCGCAAUGGGCGAAAGCCUGACGGAGCGAUGUCGCGUGAGGGAUGAAGGUCUUCGGAUUGUAAACCUCUGUCACCAAGGACGAAGAAGUGACGGUACUUGGAGAGGAAGCCAUGGCUAACUACGUGCCAGCAGCCGCGGUAAUACGUAGAUGGCAAGCGUUAUUCGGAUUUACUGGGCGUAAAGGGUCCGCAGGGGGUUUAAAAAGUCGGACGUGAAAUCCCGGAGCUCAACUCCGGAACUGCAUCCGAAACUAUUGAACUAGAGUGAGUGAGGGGCCGAUGGAAUUCCUGGUGUAGCGGUGGAAUGCGUAGAUAUCAGGAAGAACACCAAUAGCGAAGGCAGUCGGCUUGCGCUUUACUGACCCUCAGGGACGAAAGCAUGGGUAGCAAACAGGAUUAGAUACCCUGGUAGUCCAUGCUGUAAACGGUGCAUACUGGACGCAAGAUUGGUCAACGGCCAAUUUUGUGUCUGAGCUAACGUGUUAAGUAUGCCGCCUGGGAACUACGGUCGCAAGAUUAAAACUCAAAGGAAUUGACGGGGGGCCGCACAAGCGGUGGAGUAUGUGGCUUAAUUCGAGGCAACGCGAAGAACCUUACCUGGGUUUGACAUAGUUCUUACAAUAUAUGAAAGUAUAUGUCCUUCGGGAGUGAAUUACAGGUGCUGCAUGGCUGUCGUCAGCUCGUGUCGUGAGAUGUUCGGUUAAGUCCGGCAACGAGCGCAACCCGUAUCAUUAGUUACCAUCAUUUAGUUGGGGACUCUAAUGAGACUGCCUGUGUUAAGCAGGAGGAAGGCGCGGAUGACGUCAAGUCAGUAUGGUCCUUACACCCAGGGCUGCACACGUACUACAAUGGCCGGUACAAUGGGAAGCAAGACCGCGAGGUGGAGCAAAACCUUAAAACCGGCCCCAGUUCAGAUUGUAGUCUGCAACUCGACUACAUGAAGUUGGAAUCGCUAGUAAAGGCGUAUCAGCAUUGACGCCUUGAAUACGUUCCCGGGCCUUGUACACACCGCCCGUCACAUCAUGGGAGCUGGUUUCACCUUAAGCCGCCGAGCUAACCUUUCGAGGAGGCAGGUGUCCACGGUGGGGCUGGUGACUGGGA
rnacentral:rRNA from 1 species